AACGAACGCUGGCGGCAUGCCCAACACAUGCAAGUCGAACGAACCCUUCGGGGUUAGUGGCGCACGGGUGCGUAACGCGUGGGGAUCUGCCCAAAGGUUCGGAAUAACUCAGAGAAAUUUGAGCUAAUACCGGAUAAUGUCUUCGGACCAAAGAUUUAUUGCCUUUGGAUGAACCCGCGUAGGAUUAGCUUGUUGGUGGGGUAAAGGCCUACCAAGGCGACGAUCCUUAGCUGGUCUGAGAGGAUGAUCAGCCACACUGGGACUGAGACACGGCCCAGACUCCUACGGGAGGCAGCAGUGGGGAAUAUUGGACAAUGGGCGAAAGCCUGAUCCAGCAAUGCCGCGUGAGUGAUGAAGGCCUUAGGGUUGUAAAGCUCUUUUACCAGGGAUGAUAAUGACAGUACCUGGAGAAUAAGCUCCGGCUAACUCCGUG
rnacentral:rRNA from 1 species